rnacentral:lncRNA from 12 species
AAGGCAGUGAGGAUUUGGAUUUGGGAUGAUACUGACUGAGCCACAGGAGCCCAAACAUCUGCCAGAGCCAGCAACAGGAAAACUCAACAGCUGAAAUUUGUUGUUAUUCUUCCCAUCUUCCACUGUUUCUCUAACCAGAGAGUACUGUGGCCAGUGUAUAUCCACAAAUAAGGAUUGAGAAUAGAUGAGAAACCUGGAAAGCUUCAUUACAUUUCCAGGACACCAGAGUAAGAAUCGCCAUGCCAGGGCCUCUUCUAAGUAAUUGGGAUAUGUCAUUGAACAGCGACAUCUGUUAUGUCAACUUCCUUGUAAGCUUUUUCAUUUAUUGCCAUCACUACCUUUUUUUUUUUUUUGUCCCUCUUUUGGGUUCAUCACUCAUGAGCAAAUAUUUGAGUAUCUAUAAUGUACCAAGUACAAUCUUGGUUCUCCAGUGA